UACGAAGGGGGCUAGCGUUGCUCGGAAUCACUGGGCGUAAAGCGCACGUAGGCGGCUUUUUAAGUCAGGGGUGAAAUCCUGGAGCUCAACUCCAGAACUGCCUUUGAUACUGAGAGCUUGAGUCCGGGAGAGGUGAGUGGAACUGCGAGUGUAGAGGUGAAAUUCGUAGAUAUUCGCAAGAACACCAGUGGCGAAGGCGGCUCACUGG
rnacentral:rRNA from 1 species